GUCAGGAAAAAAAUUUCGGCAUGUUAUUAUCAAAUCUGUUCAAUUUUUCUGAAAUCAUGCUUAAUUAACAUUAGUUGUUCGGCGCUACGAUGUUGUUCAAAUACUUACAUUACAGAAUCACAUUAUGAUUAAAGCAGAAACGGCUCGACUUGAACCAGCAGCAGACGGAAGAUAUGGACGAACAACAAGAAGAAGUUAUGGAGGUCCCAACAACUGAACCUAUGGAAGUAGAAGAAUCGUUUACAGCCAAAACCCGAUACGAUGUGUCAGUUCCGGUCAUGGAGUCCUCCAUCUCAGACGAUGCCGACGUUAGUGUCUUCUGCGACGAAGAACCCGUAGUGGUGUAUACGCAGGUAGAAGCUGGUUCCUCCCGUGGCAAGUCCAAGUUGUUUGACAACCAAGGGUUUAGUUAUACAAUUAAGACAAAGAAGAAAACUACGAUUUGGAGGUGUUCCAUCUUCACCCAGCAGAACCCGGUAUAAACACGGCUACCAAGAUAAAAGUUACAGCAAAGCAUGAAGCCAAAGGAAAUGUUUUUACUAAGUCAUGUUCCUCAAUAGCGGAGAGAGUUUUAUCCAGUGUCGGUUCUGCAGAAGAACCCAUUCAUAGCAGACCACCCAUGGCAGCACUUGUAAGGUCGCUACAAAGAACCCGACAGACUCUGCGACCAAAAGAUCCCACUGACGUGUCGUCAAGCCUUGACGAAGAUUUCAUCGAUCAUAGUGCACCGGGAUUUUAUCAAAAAAGAGUAAAAGUUGGGGAAAGGCGCCAUCACAUUUUUUGUACUGAUAGACAGAUGCAACUACUCGCACGCGCAAAAACUUGGUAUAUGGAUGCAACUUUUCGGGUGGUGAACAAGCCAUGGUCUCAGCUGUUUUCCAUCCACGCCUUCAUUAAGACUGGAGAGACCACCCGACAGUUACCAUUGGUGUUUUGUGUAAUGUCGGGUAAAAGCCAAGACGACUAUUAUAAGUCAAUGAUGAUAUGUGACUCUUUCCACCUUCCAGCAAUAAUUAUUGAGAAUUUACCAAGGACUCCAUUGGCAUUGAAUCGAAGAAAAACAGUUUCAAUACUGGAUGUAUAUGCAAAUCACCCAGAAAAAGAUCAUGUAAUAACAAAAGAAAUUAUAAAAUAAAAAAAUGGAAGAAGAAAUGGCUGGAAAAAAUGAUGAUAGAGCAGCUUUUUCUUGUUACCCACCUCGGAAGAUCAAGUUGGAAAGGGCUAUUGAUAUUGUGGAGACGUUUUCUCACAGAUCUUGCUUAUCAGACAAAGACUAUGCUGGAACACCAUUGAAAGAGUAUUUGCUGUAUGAUAACAACAAGAAAACCCAAGCAUCAAUUUAUUUUAUACUUCUGGGAAAGAAUGCAUUUGACCCAAUUUUUAAAUAUUUAUUUUUUGUUAUUAAUGUUAAAUUUUCUUCCAAAACACAAUUAGAUUUUAAUUCUCUUCAGAAAUGUAUGUAUAAUAUAGCAAGUAAAGUGACAUAUAAAUCACUUAGAAUUUGGUCAGAAAUCAUAAAGUAUUUAAUAGGCAUUACUAGAAACCAAAUGUAGAUCAAAUACACCCAGAAUUACAAAAAACCUUGACCUACAUAAAGGUGACUUUCCCUUGCUUAUGAAAUGAAAUACGGUUUAGUAUCCUACUUUUCUGUGUUCUUAGAGUGAUUCUGCCCUACACCCUACUCUUAUAUCAAAUAGUUCAACUGUCAAGGGUUCUUUAAC